rnacentral:rRNA from 1 species
AUUGAACGCUGGCGGCAGGCCUAACACAUGCAAGUCGAACGAGUGGCGGACGGGUGAGUAAUGUCUGGGAAACUGCCUGAUGGAGGGGGAUAACUACUGUAAACGGUAGCUAAUACCGCAUACCAUCAGAUGUGCCCAGAUGGGAUUAGCUGGUUGGUGGGGUAACGGCUAACCAAGGCGACGAUCCCUAGCUGGUCUGCGAGGAUGACCAGCAACACUGGAACUGGGACACGGGCCAGACUCCUACGGGAGUCAGCAGGGGGGAAUAGUGCACAAUGGGGGCAAGCCUGAUGCAGCCAUGCCGCGUGUAUGAAGAAGGCCUUCGGGUUGUAAAGUACGUUCAGCGGGGAGGCGUUACCCGCAGAAGAAGCACCGGCUAACUACGUGCCAGCAGCCGCGGUAAUAC